rnacentral:rRNA from 1 species
UACAGGGGGUGCAAACGUUGCUCGGAAUUAUUGGGCGUAAAGCGCGCGUAGGCGGCUACUUAAGUCGGAUGUGAAAGCCCUUGGCUCAACUGAGGAAGUGCACCCGAAACUGAGUGGCUUGAGUACUAAAGAGGGUCGCGGAAUUCCCGGUGUAGAGGUGAAAUUCGUAGAUAUCGAGAGGAACACCGGUGGCGAAGGCGGCCUUCUGGACAGUGACUGACGCUGAGACGCGAAAGCGUGGGGAGCAAACAGG